AGCAAUUUCACCUCGAAAAUUAUUUCCCAAUACACGGUGCCAAUAUCCAAAUAUCAUAUCCCUUUUUUGUAUUGCAACGGACAAUUUCAAUCCAUCCUGAAUGAAGAUUGUCGUCCGCCAUUUUAUGGAAUCAAUUUAUAGAAAUUCGAAAGGCUGGCGGCGUAGUUUUAUCUUCAAAAAUAUCGGCAAAAAUGGACAAUGGGGAAACCUCGACGAUCGGGAGUCGAAAUCGAACGCUGGAUUCGAGGAAGGUGCGUGCAAGGUGUCGAAAAAAGGGAGGGGAUAGGAGGAGGAAGAGGGAGGGGGAAAAAUGAAAAAUUCACGGGCUUUGUUCCGACGAGCAUGACUCGAUGGUGUUGGGAUCGGUUUACGUUUCACAGGAAAGGUGGGAAACCCGCGCUACAGCUUUUUAUUACGCGGAUAUUGGGUUUCAUGGGAUCGAUGAUGAGUCCUGAGAUCCAUGAAGUGGAAAGUGCAUGUAAUUGAUCGUAUUCCUUGUGUGUUUAAGUAUCGUUUUUAUAUUGUAUUAACGUAUUCGACUGUUUGGAAUUGUGAGGUUAAAGGUUUCUGGAGAAGGAAAAGGUGGCAAUCAGUGUCCUUCACUAGCCACCUUGUUUAAUAGUGCAUAUCCAUUUAUAUCGGACGUGGGGAUCGCCAAGGGGAGAUGUCUGCAUAGCGAUUCACGAAGAUGUCAGAUGAGUUAGGUGUGGUGAGACUGACGUGCUCUAACAAGUCUCUCGAGUUACGCUUCGUUGUUCUCGUUGCUUCUUUCCUGGUUUAAUUAAAAAUGUCUGUACACCACGUUGAUGGAAGUGGAGGGAAAGUUGUUUUUAUAUAUAACGAAUUUUUCAACCGGUAGAAAAACUUGA
rnacentral:lncRNA from 1 species